rnacentral:rRNA from 2 species
AUAAUUGAGAGUUUGAUCCUGGCUCAGGAUAAACGCUGGCGGCGUGCAUAACACAUGCAAGUCGAAC